UGGAAGCUGGAAAGGGCAUGGAAAUGGGUUUUCCCGUAAAUCCUCCAGGAGGAACCAACCCUGCCUACUCUAUGAUUCUAGCCCAUUUUGGACUUCUGGCCUCCAGAACUAUGAGAUAAGAAGUCCACAUUACACUCGUGCUAACUUGUUACAGCAGCAACAGGGCACUCAUACAGCACCACUUACACAAUAUGUGCCUCAUAAAUACUGGAUGGAUGAACAAACAAAUGAACGAGUGAAUGAAUGGCAACGAAUACCACAGAGGUCUUGAACACACAAAAUCAGAGGAAAUGCAGUCUUUUAGGAGCACUGGGAAGAGGCUCAGCAGCAUGGCUUUCCCGGCCCCCAUGGCGGCUCAGCUCAGCAACUUGCUGAGGGCAACCCCGCGGCUGAGUAACCAUGGGAAGGAGAUGGGAACUAUCCCCAGAAGACACAGCCUCAGGCCCAAAGGAUUUCAUCUCAAGAGACAACAGGAACAGGAAGGAUGACCUUUCCCAGAGGACACUGCAGGGGCUUUGUGGAGAGACCGAGUUGAAACUCAGCCUGUCAUUGAGGCACCCAGAACCCAAGACAAAGCGGUUUUAAGCAUGUGGGACAAGAAAAACUCAUCUCACAUGAGGCAUGGUAAGUGGGACUUCCAGCAGACUUAGCCAGACCAUGGCAUCCUCCCACGGACAGCUCUCUGAAAGACAAGACAGCAUCCUGUGGGGAGUUCUCACCCAAUUUGACAAACAUCACUAACUUCUUAGGGGGAGAUUUUGCCCAGGUGAGUGCAAGUUCUCAGGUCCUGGGCUUGGUGCAAUGGACAAAACUGAAACCAGCGGGAUUUUCUCUGUCUUCAUUCAAUACCAGAGUCUGCCCUGUGUUUUGGGGGCACUAAGCACUGAGCUCUAGGAACAGAGCUUUGCCUUGGACAACUGCUUCAGGGCUGGGGAUGACCUUGUUCUCUAAAUACAUCAGGGAAAAAUACCAUCAUAUUAUUGUGUAUCUUGGAAACUCUUCACACUCACUCAAACCAAGGCACACGGGAGCCUAAUUCAACUUCUGAGGUUCUGAAGAAGACAUCCUCAUCUCCCAAGACAGGCCAAACAGCAACUGCUACAGAAACUCAGGUCUGGGAGCCCACAAGACCGGGGCCUGAGUAGGGUAAGACAUUGUGGGAGCCAGCUUCCAAGAUGCCCCCUGAGGAUCCUCACUUCCUGGUAUCCAGACCCACAAUGAGUAGGGCUGAGCUGGGUCAACAAUAGGACAUUGUGGAAAUGACAGAGCAUGACUUCCAAAGCCGAGUCAUAAAAGUUAUUGCAAUUGUGGCCUUGCUCUCUCUUGAAUAUUUCAUUCUGGGGGAAGCCAUCUGCCACAUCAGGACAUAGUGGCCCU
rnacentral:lncRNA from 10 species